GUUAUUCUUAUAUAUUAUAUUUGUUUAGGUAAUAUUUGCAAGCCAGAUGUGUAUACUACAAAUGCAACUGUUCUAGUAAGCAAUUCUGAAUCUGGGUCCUUUGACUUGGUCACAUUUACAUCAACAGAGCUGGCCUCUAAUUCCUCCAGUAUCUCUUUAGUAAAGACUGUAAUCAAGUAUUUGAAUAUUGAAAGUGUUGCUGCAUUUUCAAGAUGUAAUGGAUAAAUUUGUUUGCAAAUUCCUAGAGAAUUUAUAUUUGAGAGAGAUGUGUAUUCUGUGAUGGGAAGGAUACAAAAUAUUCCUUAGUCUUUCUGUUGCUAUGAAGCAGUAUGUUUAUAAUUUAUUUUGUUAAACUGUUUAUAGGAUUUACAAAUGUUUAAAUAAUUUUUUAGAUUGUGUUAUUCGUUUGAAGAGAUUUCAAUGUGAAUAUUUUUAUUAUUUUUAAAUAUUUGCUUUUAUUUCAAAAUAACUUGGUUGUUACCAGUUUGCACAUAUAUAAGAAACAUACUGUUCAGUAGUAACUUGACAUUCACGGCAGCUUAACAUUUAUUUUUGUUGUUUCACAAAAUUUGUUCUGUAAGAAUGAGUUAUAAAUAAAGUAUUAAUUAUGAAUUUGUUUAAUAUAAA